UGUUGGCCAGGCUGGUCUUGAAUCCCUGGCCUCAAGUGAUCCUCCUGCCUUGGCUUCCCAAAGUGGUGGAAAUAUAGGUAUGAGUGACUGCACCAGGACACAUUGUGCUUUUUGUAGAAUGGGUUUGUCAGAAGCAGACUCUGAGAUGAAGAAUUCUAUGAGGGUGGUUUAUUAGAAAGGAAGCAUUUCCAGAAAAGACCAGUACAGAGUAGGAGAGUGGGCCUGAGAAAGGAAGAAGGGCAAGCACUUUUGUGAUAUUAAGUCCCACUGAGCUCAUAAAGCAAUGUAGGUUUUACUUCAGUGAAAUCCAAAUCAAUUGUACCGAAGCAAUCAGACAUUAGCUAAGGACUGCCCCUGAGGCGAUGUAAAUUUGCAGGCACUUCCAGCUACACCUGCACUUGCAGAAAACGUGAUCUCCAGGAGACUAAGGGCAGCUCUUCUAUAAAGGCCCUCAGUUCCGGUUGUUGGUAAUAAAAGCACAUUGGAGAGCAGUGUGCACAAAACUGAUGAAGGAAUACGACGGUGAACAGACAAAGCAACACCAACAUCUGUUGCAGCCGUGGAUACACUCAUGCCUCACACUGGAUUCUCUACACAGAUUUUUCAGAAUGAUAACUCGUCAUGAUUGCAAAGGGUCGAACACUACAAGAGAGCAGUUACUGCAAUGAACUGUAAUUCCUGUUGCUGAAGUUGUUGCCAAGGCUAUAAUUGCCAAAAGAUAUUUCAAGCCUCAUCAGAACAAAUCAUUGCACCUUUGAGGUUGAAAAGACAGUCUCUACCAUCCAUUGUAGUCUAUACUUCUGUAGCGUGUGAUGUUCUUCUGAGUACCCUUCAGGACUCACAUCCCUGUACUUCUGGUAACCAUUCACUUGCCUGAUAAUUACCUGACCACAGUUCAAUAAUAUAUGGGAUUAUGAAGAGACAGACAGUGGAUUCCCAGACCGACUUUUUCCUACUCACAUUCAAUGUCUAAUAUCCUACCAUCUCAUGAUGAUCAAGAUUAAGAAUUUGUUUCAUUUAUUUGCCUACUUGCUUAUGCUCAUUCUUGGAAUCUCUCCUGGGCAAAACAAAGAACCCUCCCAGACUAAGCCUCAGUUUGGGGUUCACCUCCUUUGCAUCACCAUCAGGAGCUUCAAGUUGGCACAGUGACAUGCUGGCCUCCCCUUCACAUUCCACCAUAUUUGCAAGCUUCCUGAGGUCCUCAGGACAGCAGAUGUCAGCAUUAUGCUC